rnacentral:rRNA from 1 species
GAUGAACGCUGGCGGCGUGCUUAACACAUGCAAGUCGAACGAGAAUCUACUGAAAGAGUUUUCGGACAAUGGAAGUAGAGGAAAGUGGCGGACGGGUGAGUAACGCGUGAGGAACCUGCCUUGAAGAGGGGGACAACAGUUGGAAACGACUGCUAAUACCGCAUGACGCAUAGAGGUCGCAUGAUCUUUAUGCCAAAGAUUUAUCGCUUCAAGAUGGCCUCGCGUCUGAUUAGCUGGUUGGCGGGGUAACGGCCCACCAAGGCGACGAUCAGUAGCCGGACUGAGAGAUUGAACGGCCACAUUGGGACUGAGAUACGGCCCAGACUCCUACGGGAGGCAGCAGUGGGGACUAUUGGGCAAUGGGCGCAAGCCUGACCCAGCAACGCCGCGUGAAGGAAGAAGGCUUGCGGGUUGUAAACUUCUUUUAAGAGGGAAGAGCAGAAGACGGUACCUCUAGAAUAAGCCACGGCUAACUACGUGCCAGCCGCCGCCGUAA